UACGGAGGGUGCAAGCGUUAAUCGGAAUUACUGGGCGUAAAGGGUGCGUAGGUGGUUUGAUAAGUUAGCUGUGAAAUUCCUGGGCUUAACCUAGGGUGGUCAGCUAAGACUGUUAGACUAGAGUAUAGGAGAGGGUAGUGGAAUUUCCGGUGUAGCGGUGAAAUGCGUAGAGAUCGGAAGGAACACCAGUGGCGAAGGCGGCUACCUGGCCAAAUACUGACACUGAGGCACGAAAGCGUGGGGAGCAAACAGG
rnacentral:rRNA from 1 species